UACGAAGGGGGCAAGCGUUGUUCGGAAUUACUGGGCGUAAAGGGCGCGUAGGCGGCUUAGCAAGUCAGGCGUGAAAUUCCGGGGCUCAACCUGGGGGCUGCGCUUGAUACUGAUGAGCUUGAAUGCGGGAGAGGAUAGUGGAAUUCCCAGUGUAGAGGUGAAAUUCGUAGAUAUUGGGAAGAACACCGGUGGCGAAGGCGGCUAUCUGGCCUGUAACUGACGCUGAGUCGCGAAAGCGUGGGGAGCAAACAGG
rnacentral:rRNA from 1 species